UACGGAGGGGGCUAGCGUUGUUCGGAAUUACUGGGCGUAAAGCGCACGUAGGCGGCUUUGUAAGUUAGAGGUGAAAGCCCGGGGCUCAACCCCGGAAUUGCCUUUAAGACUGCAUCGCUAGAAUUGUGGAGAGGUGAGUGGAAUUCCGAGUGUAGAGGUGAAAUUCGUAGAUAUUCGGAAGAACACCAGCGGCGAAGGCGGGCACCUGGGCCAACACUGACGCUGAUGCGCGAAAGCUAGGGGAGCAAACAGG
rnacentral:rRNA from 1 species